CAAGUGGAAGUGAUUCUUAAACUUGAUUUCGAGAAAGCUUAUGACAAAGUCAAUUGGGACUUUUUGCUCGAUUGCCAUGUGAAACGUGGGUUUAACUCUAAGUGGUGUGGGUGGGUCUCUCAAGUUCUUAAAAACGGCACGGUAAGUGUCAAGAUCAAUGAUGAGGUAGGACCAUACAUCCAAAGUGCUAAGGGGGUGAGGCAGGGUGAUCCUCACUUCCCUUUCUUAUUUAAUCUUGCAGCUGAUUGCCUGAUCAAAAUGGUGCUUACGGCUCAAAAAAACGGUCUUAUCAAAGGGUUAGCUGCUGAUCUUAUUGAGGAUGGGGUUGGCAUCCUGCAAUACGCUGACGACAUCGUGCUUUGUUUUGAACAUGAUAUUGACAAAGCCAUUAAUGUCAAACUUUUGCUCUAUCUUUUUGAGCUUAUGUCAGGACUAAAAAUCAAUUUUGAGAAGAGCGAGAUCUUUAGUAUUGGAGAAGACAAUGAUAUUGAUUUAGUCUAUGCUGACAUGUUUGGAUGCCAAGUGGGCACCUUACCUAUGAAAUAUCUUGGAGUUCCAGUUACAUACUCCACUCUCAAGAAUGCGGAUUUAGACUUCCUUGAUGGAAAAAUGAUCAAAAAGCUUGAUGCCUGGGUCGCCUAUGCGGCA
rnacentral:rRNA from 1 species